GACGUAGGGCGCGAGCGUUGUCCGGAUUUAUUGGGCGUAAAGAGCUCGUAGGCGGUCUGUUGCGUCGGCUGUGAAAACCCGGGGCUCAACUCCGGGCCUGCAGCCGAUACGGGCAGACUAGAGUUCGGCAGGGGAGACUGGAAUUCCUGGUGUAGCGGUGAAAUGCGCAGAUAUCAGGAGGAACACCAAUAGCGAAGGCAGCUCGCUGGGACGUUACUGACACUGAGGCGCGAAAGCGUGGGGAGCGAACAGG
rnacentral:rRNA from 1 species